GUGCUCACUUCGGCGGCAUAUAUACUAAAUUGGAACGAUACAGAAAAGGUUGGCAUGGCCACUGCGCAAGGAUGACAUGCAAAUUUGUGAAGCGUUCCAUAUUUUU
ensembl:snRNA U6 U6 spliceosomal RNA